GGGAACUAUGGUUAUUAACUUUGGAACAAGUCGGGAUAUUAAACCAGCUUCAGCUGUGGUGUAAUAUCCUGGCUUGCUCCAAAAUUGGUAGCCAGAGUUUCC